GACGUAGGGCGCGAGCGUUGUCCGGAUUUAUUGGGCGUAAAGAGCUCGUAGGCGGCUUGUCGCGUCAACUGUGAAAACCCGUGGCUCAACCAUGUGGUCUGCAGUCGAUACGGGCAGGCUAGAAUUCGGUAGGGGAGACUGGAAUUCCUGGUGUAGCGGUGAGAUGCGCAGAUAUCAGGAGGAACACCGGUGGCGAAGGCGGGUCUCUGGGCAGUAACUGACGCUGAGGAGCGAAAGCGUGGGGAGCGAACAGG
rnacentral:rRNA from 1 species